rnacentral:rRNA from 1 species
AACUUACCAGGUCAAGACAUGGGCGUGAUUGACAGGCUAAUGACUUUUCUCGAUUCCAUGGAUGGUGGUGCAUGGUCGCACUUAGUUGGUGCAGUGAUUUGUCAGGUUUAUUCCGGUAACGAACGAGACCUCGGCCUUGUAAAUAGCUAUGCUGCUUACAGGGACAUUGGCGGCUACGCCAAGGAAGCUCGAGGCAAUUGCAGAUCUGGAAUGCCCUUAGAUGUCCUGGGUCGCACGCGUGCUACAAUGACGCCACGAACGAGCUUGCGUGAUGAAAGUUACGCAUAAUCAGCAGUCGGCGUCUUAAGGGAUAGUCUCUUGUAACUGUGGGACUCCAACUAGGAAUGUCUCGUAAGCGCAAGUCAACAUCUUGUGUUGAUUACGUCCCUGCUCUUUGUACACACCGCCCGUCGCUCCUACCGAUCGAGUGUUUAGGUGAAUUUGAUGGACGUAAGGAAGUCAAAUAAACCUGAGCACUAGAGAAGAGAAGUCGAGAGGUU